rnacentral:rRNA from 2 species
GGUGAGUAAUGCAUCGGGAUCUACCCAAACGUGGGGGAUAACGUAGGGAAACUUACGCUAAUACCGCAUACGUCCUACGGGAGAAAGCGGGGGACCUUCGGGCCUCGCGCGGUUGGACGAACCGAUGUUCGAUUAGCUAGUUGGUAGGGUAAUGGCCUACCAAGGCGACGAUCGAUAGCUGGUCUGAGAGGAUGAUCAGCCACACUGGAACUGAGACACGGUCCAGACUCCUACGGGAGGCAGCAGUGGGGAAUAUUGGACAAUGGGCGCAAGCCUGAUCCAGCAAUGCCGCGUGUGUGAAGAAGGCCUUCGGGUUGUAAAGCACUUUUAUCAGGAGCGAAACGCUGUCGAUUAAUACUCGGCGGAACUGACGGUACCUGAGGAAUAAGCACCGGCUAACUUCGUGCCAGCAGCCGCGGUAAUACGAAGGGUGCAAGCGUUAAUCGG